UAGACUGUAAAUACUGGACAAACGGAUUCCAUUGGCUUCAAUAACACGUUUGUUGUCUAUAAUGGGAGGUGGCCACCACCGCCAUUUUGACCGUGUCACAGGUUCCGUCCAGCCCAGACAAUUCCAUAAAAGGGAAGAGAGGAGGCGCUGAGGGUGUGGCUGUAAGGCUGGGCUCGAGUGACGACACCCAGGCGAACUAGCUACGAGCUAACCUGAAGCUAACCCUGGCUAACCCAAAGCUAAAGCGGAGGUGGGAGCCGAGCUAACGGAUGUAGCCACCUAGCUUCAACCCAACCGGAGCUAACUGGAACACCCAUCGACCUGAACCUCACACGGAGUUUAGGUGGAGGUUUUCUGCGCCUGUUCGUGAGAAGUACCUGUAUUAAAAAAGUUUUAAAUCGAUCUAUUAAAAGGUCACCAUGGCAGCCUGUGUGUCAACGUCAGCUACACAAAGCAGCAAGUGUAAGUACCAAGUACUUGUCUUGACCACUUCAUGAAUGGUUUUGUACUUUAAACAGCUAGGCCAAACCUGUUAUUUUUUCCUCCAUAGCCAUUUGGAUCAUUGGAGACAGCUGAGUGAGGCGUGGUGCCCAGAGAGCUGCAGAGACAACCUUGGCCUCCCUGACGUCUGUGUCUCUUGGUUUGGUUGGGGCGGACCAUCGACAUACAUACAUGUGCCGACACUUUGCGCCCUGUUUUAUAAACUGUAGUGUUAAAAAUAAAUGUUUUUGCUCAA